CCACGAAGUUGACGCGCUGUCUCU
rnacentral:miRNA from 1 species